rnacentral:rRNA from 1 species
GAUUGAACGCUGGCGGCAGGCCUAACACAUGCAAGUCGAACGGUAACCGGAAACAGCUUGCUGUUUCGCUGACGAGUGGCGGACGGGUGAGUAAUGUCUGGGAAACUGCCUGAUGGAGGGGGAUAACUACUGGAAACGGUAGCUAAUACCGCAUAACGUCGCAAGACCAAAGAGGGGGACCCUCGGGCCUCUUGCCAUCGGAUGUGCCCAGAUGGGAUUAGCUUGUUGGUGGGGUAACGGCUCACCAAGGCGACGAUCCCUAGCUGGUCUGAGAGGAUGACCAGCCACACUGGAACUGAGACACGGUCCAGACUCCUACGGGAGGCAGCAGUGGGGAAUAUUGCACAAUGGGCGCAAGCCUGAUGCAGCCAUGCCGCGUGUAUGAAGAAGGCCUUCGGGUUGUAAAGUACUUUCAGCGGGGAGGAAGGGAGUAAAGUUAAUACCUUUGCUCAUUGACGUUACCCGCAGAAGAAGCACCGGCUAACCCCGUG